GUGACUGCGUGGGUCCCUCCACUUUUUAUGCCCUUCUUUCCCUCUUUGCUCUUUUUAGAGCUCUUUUCUCUUCCUCUCCUCUUUCUCUCUCUGUAGUGUGUAAAGUUUGCUUUUUUAUUUUUACUCUGUUGCUUGCUUUGCUUCUUCUCAUGGCUUCUUCAAGGGAAGGACACUACAGGGGGGUGAGGAAGAGGCCAUGGGGUCGCUAUGCAGCUGAAAUACGUGACCCCUGGAAGAAAACUAGGGUUUGGUUGGGUACAUUUGACACUCCUGAAGAAGCUGCACUCGCUUAUGAUGGUGCAGCUCGCUCUCU
rnacentral:misc_RNA from 1 species